UACGAAGGGGGCUAGCGUUGUUCGGAAUUACUGGGCGUAAAGCGCACGUAGGCGGGUUGUUAAGUCAGGGGUGAAAUCCUGGAGCUCAACUCCAGAACUGCCUUUGAUACUGGCAACCUAGAGACUGGAAGAGGUUAGUGGAAUUCCCAGUGUAGAGGCGAAAUUCGUAGAUAUUGGGAAGAACACCUGUGGCGAAAGCGGCUCACUGGACCACAACUGACGCUGAGGCGCGAAAGCUAGGGGAGCAAACAGG
rnacentral:rRNA from 1 species